rnacentral:rRNA from 1 species
CCCCUAGUAACCGCGAGUGAAGCUGGAGAAAAGCUCAAAUUUAAAAUCUGGCAGUCUUUGGCUGUCCGAGUUGUAGUCUGGAGAAGCGUUUUCCGCGCUGGACCGUGUACAAGUCUCCUGGAAUGGAGCGUCAUAGAGGGUGAGAAUCCCGUCUUUGACACGGACUACCAGUGCUUUGUGAUGCGCUCUCAAAGAGUCGAGUUGUUUGGGAAUGCAGCUCAAAAUGGGUGGUAAAUUCCAUCUAAAGCUAAAUAUUGGCGAGAGACCGAUAGCGAACAAGUACCGUGAGGGAAAGAUGAAAAGCACUUUGGAAAGAGAGUUAAACAGUACGUGAAAUUGCUGAAAGGGAAACGCUUGAAGUCAGUCGCGUUUGCUAGAACUCAGCCUGGCUUUUGCUUGGUGCAUUUUCUAGUAAACGGGCCAGCAUCAGUUUCGGCUGCGGGAAAAAGGCCAGGGGAAUGUGGCAACUUCGGUUGUGUUAUAGCCCUUGGUCAUAUACCGUGGCUGGGACUGAGGAACUCAGCAUGCCGCAAGGCGGGGCUUCGGCCACCUUCAUGCUUAGGAUGCUGGCGUAAUGGCUUUAAACGACCCGUCUUGAAACACGGACCAAGGAGUCUAACAUGCCUGCGAGUGUUUGGGUGGAAAACCCGAGCGCGUAAUGAAAGUGAUAGUUGGGACCUCUGUCGUGGAGGGCACCGACGCCCGGACCAGACCUUCUGUGACGGAUCCGCGGUAGAGCAUGUAUGUUGGGACCCGAAAGAUGGUGAACUAUGCCUGAAUAGGGUGAAGCCAGAGGAAACUCUGGUGGAGGCUCGUAGCGAUUCUGACGUGCAAAUCGAUCGUCAAAUUUGGGUAUAGGGGCGAAAGACUAAUCGAACCAUCUAGUAGCUGGUUCCUGC